CUAUGGCUUCUUUGUUGCCCACCAAGAAAGGUGUUCCCCAUCACACGAAGAGCUUUGGGGGUACUUCAUUAGUGUUUCUAUAGUGAUCUGGGCAGUCUUCUCCCCAUGGACAGUCAGAAAUUUCUUUUUGAGAUCUUCUGCCCUCCAUUACAAUAGCCUUCACCAACAUGGUCUCAGGUGGACACAGCAGCAAGUGCUUUCGAUGCAACUUCACAACAUUUAGCCAACUAUAUUGGCAUAACAUCUCAUUCAAAGGAGACAGAUGAACUUGUUUUGUGAAUGGAAGAGAGUCCUACAGACACUUGGAUAUGGUGCCUGGAUCCAUUCUGACAAUAAAAGGAGGCUGAUAGCAGAUGGGGACAUAUGAGAAAAUGACAACUUUACAGUUCACACUACUAAUAAAAUUAUUUAGAAAAUUGC